CACGUAGGGCGCAAGCGUUGUCCGGAAUUAUUGGGCGUAAAGAGCUCGUAGGCGGUCUGUUGCGUCUGCUGUGAAAACUCGGGGCUUAACCCCGAGCCUGCAGUGGAUACGGGCAGACUAGAGGUAGGUAGGGGAGAAUGGAAUUCCCGGUGUAGCGGUGAAAUGCGCAGAUAUCGGGAGGAACACCGGUGGCGAAGACGGUUCUCUGGGCCUUACCUGACGCUGAGGAGCGAAAGCGUGGGGAGCGAACAGG
rnacentral:rRNA from 1 species